GCGGUGAUAAUGCUUCAGUACUUCUACGGCCAAUGGUUUUGUGGAUUGGUGAUCGUCUUUCUGAAAAAUUGCCACCAUCUGAUUUGGAUGCUUACAAGAUCCAGCGACUGCUCUCCUUUCUGUCUCUACUAUUAGAGCACGCACAUGGAAAGAGGUUAUUCUUGAAGGAGGGUGGCCUUAGGAUGCUAAUCAAGGCUCUAGAAAUGUGUUUAGCUGCUGCUAGCUCGGAUGCAAAACAGUUAGCUCAGAAAGGGUUUUCCCUUAUUAGUUGGUGUGUGCCUGUAUUCAAGUCUAUUACACUACUUAGUGAAUGCAAAACUCGACAAACCCCGGGAAUAGUUGAGAGACACGUCCCUGAAGAUAUGACUGCUGAAGAAAAUUGCUUGCUUUUGUCUUUGCUCCUUAAAUUUUGCAAGGUCCUACCUGUUGGAAAAGAAUUGCUUUCAUGCCUGUUAGUAUUAAGAUUAUUUUGGUCAUCUGCCAAAGGAAAAGAUGCUCUGCUCUCACUUUAUCUGCAUGCUAAGUCCUCUAGCAUCGAGGAGCAGGAAUCAGAGAAACAAUUUGAAAAUGGUCUAAACCGUGAUUUUUCUCUAGACUGGAAGGAGCAUCCUCCAUUGCUAUGUUGCUGGGAAUCUCUGUUAAGGACACCUGCUUCAAAGGAUGAUCUACCAACUUAUGCUGUUCAGGGCAUUGGAA
rnacentral:misc_RNA from 1 species